AGCGGGGUGGAGUAGCUAGAAAGUUAAAUUGGCUAAGACUAACUCGCGAGGCUCAUAACCUCGAGAUCCCUGGUUCAAAUCCAGGCCCCGCUA
rnacentral:tRNA from 1 species